CUCGCGGCUGUUCUGACUCGUCUGGGUCUCCCUGACUCCGAAACGCUGGCUCUGGGCCGAGCGACUGUCCUGUUAGGUCCGGGAAGAGUCGUUUUCCGCGUGGCGCAGAGGCGGGCCUGAGGUUCGCCACUCGGCACGGGCUUCCCCGCGCCCGGCCUGGGAUGGAGACCGUGGCGCCCGCGACCCCCUCUUCUCCCGCAGCUCCGCCCGCAGAGCUCGAUGGCGGCGGCCGCGCGGAGGACCCGCCUCAGAGGUCUCCCGUGAGAAGGGCAUUUCCCAGGCAGGACUCCUAGGGCAGAUCCAUCGUUCAUGAAGAGCCACCCCUGUGAAAUGUGUGGCCUCACAGACAAUUGGCACUUGGAUGAGCAGCAGCCAACACAUGACAGGCAGAAACUGCACAGAUUUGUAGAAAUGGAAUUGCUGCAAAAAAGUACUGCAUGUUCAUGCUGGAUAUGACAAGCUUCCUUUUCUACAGUUUGUUCCAGUUUGUACUCAAACCAACAGGAAAUCAUGACCGCAGGGAUGUGGCAUUGUGCUCAGGACGAACGAGGGCAGUCUCUUCCCAGGUCCUGCAGAGGAGCCGUGGAGCCUGCUGUGCACAACUGUUGAGGGAUCAUCCUCAUUCCAGACACGCUGGACUCACAGGACGAGGGGGCAGGACGCUGCAACCGACUGCUGGGCACGUGCCUCUCAGGACAGCAUCCGCCUGACCCGCCACUGUGGCUGGGAAGGAUGAGCAGGGCUGUACCCCCAGCACAUGGAAGUUUCUGGGUGGGGGAUCUAAUUGGAACUACAGCUGCCAGCCUUCACCACAGCCACAGCAACACGGAAUCCGAGCUGCAUCUGGGACCUACACCACAGCUCACGGCAAUGCCGGAUCCUUAACCCACUGAGUGAGGCCAGGGAUGGAACCCGUGUCCUCAUGGAUACUAGCGGGGUUCUUAACCUGCUGACCCACCAAUAACUCCCUGAACAUUUUAAAGUUUAUUUUCUAUUUUUUAUGUAAAAUAUUCUCAGUCGCUUUUCUUGAAUCUAGAUACUCAACAAUACAGUAAAUCAAGCCAUGGUUUGUAAUGUUUGUCAUUUUCGAUGACAUGACACACCCACCACAGCCAAUUUAAAACUGUCAGUAUGGGAGCAUUGGCCAAGACGGUGGAGCAGAAAGACCCUGAGUUCACCUACUCUCAGGAGCACCCUGAAAUUACAACUAUCUGCAGAAAAACCAUCUGUGAAAAAGCCUGGAAAGCACUAAAAACAUCUUCCGUAUCUAAAGACACAAAGGACCCACAGGUCGACAGGAAGGAGGAUGGGCUUGCAUUGCCGAUGGGUGAGCAACCCACCCGUUGAAGCAUAAUUAUGUUGCAGAGGGGCUCACACAAGACAGAAUUCUGAGCCCCACAUUAGUCUACCCAGCCUGGGGUUCCUGCACUGGGAUGAUGAGCCCCUGAAUCAUUGGCUUUCAAGACCAGUGGGGCUUAAUUCAGGUGUCCCAAAGGGAGGAGGGUCUCGAACCCAACUAGUAUCCAUGAGGAUGUAGGUUCAAUCCCUGGCCUUGCUCAGUGGGUUAAGGAUCUGGUGUUGCCGUGAGCUGUGCUGUAGGCCAGUGGCUACAGCUCUGAUUAGACCCCUAGCCUGGGCACCUGCAUAUGCUGCAAGUGUGGCCCUAGAAAAGACAAAAAGACCAAAAAAAGUGUCCCAAAGGACUUGGGAAAUAGAAACGUCACUCUUAAAGGACACACGAAGACAGACCCACAGAAAAAGCAGUAAUUUUAUAGGAGCGUGGGCCAGACCUACCUGCUCAUCUUAGUCUCCUGGAGCGUUAGAGGGUGGCUGCUGCUCACCUUGAGGACAUGCCCAUGUGUGUUCACCGUAUUUCAGAGCUUUCUAGCAUUCAGGCUCUGCCGCUGGGGUCACCAUCAUGAGAUUCUCCCUCUAGCUCACAGUACCGAGACCUGGCCCCACAUAACCGCCUGUGGGUGGGAUGCCUCAGGCCAAACACUUGGCUGGGGCUCUGUCACCUAGAGACAGACUGCUACGAGACUUCCUGAGUCCACAGCUGCCUCUGCACACAACUCUAGCCACAGCCCUGCCCUUGAGAGCUCAGACCUGCCCUCCCGGAAGGCUGCAGUAGCUUAUGGACCAGCUUAUCCCACCAAGAGGCAGAAACCAGAUGCACAAAAACACAACCUUGUAGCCUGCAGAUCCAGAGAGUCCACAGCAGGUCAGAACCUACCCUGGGAUCACCCAGUGGCAGGCCAGCACUAGCCUCGGAAUAUCCCAGACCCCAUACCCAACUGUGUCAGAAACUUCACCUAUCCGUCCCCACCACAGUGAUCGGAGACACUAACACCAGCUCUGGGGUCCCAGGGCCCUACAGCCAGACCCCUGGACUCAGCUCUACCUGCCAGGAGUCUGGCACCAACCCCAGGAUUUGGCGAAAAGCAUUUUCUCUAAGAUCAGGAACCAGACAAGGAUGCCCACUCUUACCACUUUAAUUCAAUGCAAUUUUCAUAGUCCUACCCUCAGCAGUCAUAUAAGGAAAAGAAACAAAGGGAAUCCAAAUGGAAGAAGAAAACUUGAGUGUUUGCAGAUGGCGUAUUACACCUAGGGAAUCCUAAAGAUGCCACCAGAAACGCGCUAGAGGUUAUCUGUCAUUUCACUGCAGAGUACAAAAUGAACCUGAAGAAGUGUUGCACUUCCACAUACAACAGCCUGUCCAAAAGAAAAUCAGUGAGGCAAUCCCAUUUACCACUGCACAAAAAAGAAUAAAAUACCUACGAAUAAACCUACAUUAAGACACUGAUGAAAGAAAUUGAAGACAGAAACAGAUGGACAGAUAUUCCAUGUUCUUUGGUUGGAAGAAUUAAUGCAGUCCCUAUCAAAAUACCAACAGCAUUUUUCACAGAAGAAAUAAUUUAAAAUUUUGUAUGAAAAAAAAAAAGACCCUGAGUAGCCAAAACAAUCUUGAGAAAGAAGGGAACUGUAGGAAUUGUGACCCCUGACUUCAGACAAUACUGCAAAACUACAGUAAUCACAACAGUAUGACAAUGGCACAAAAACAUAAAUGGAACAGAAAAGAACCCAGAGAUAAAGCCAUGCACUUUUAGUUAGUUAAAUCUGCAACAGAGGAGGCAAGAAUACACCAUGGAGAAAACACAGUCUCUUCAAUAAGUGGUGCUGGGAAAACUAGACAGCUACAUUUGAAAGGGUAAAAUGAGAAUGCUGACACCAUAUACAAAACUAAACUCUGGAGCUCCCAUUGUGGCUCAGCAAAAACGAAUCUGACUAGCAUUCAUGAGGAGGCGGGUUCAAUGGGUGAAAAUGUUUGCAAAUGAUAUGACUGAUAAGGAGUUAAUAUCCCAACAUAUAUAUAUAUACAUAAACACACACACAAAGCUCAUGCGACUAAACAUUAAUUUUUUUGUUUUGUCUUUGUCUUUUAUCUUUUUAGAGCUGCACCUGUUCCCAGGCUAGGGGUCUAAUUGGAGCUGUAGCCGCCCGCCUACGCCAGAGCCAUAGCAACGCCAGAUCCGAGCUGCAUCUGCGACCUACACCACAGCUCACGGCAACGCUGGAUCCUUAACCCACUGAGCAAGGCCAGAGAUAGAACCUGCAAACUCAUAAUUCUUCGUCAGAUUCGUUUCUGCUGUGCCACGACAGGAACUACAAAAAAAUUUUUUUUAAAUGGGUAGAGAGUUCCCACCAUGGUUAAGAAUCUGACUGAUGUGGCUCAGGUCACUGGAGGUGCAGUGAUCUCUGGCCCAGGGCAGUGGUUUAAGGAUCUGGUGUUGAUGCAGCUGUGGCUCAUUCCAUCUGCAGGUGCAGCCAGAAAAAGAAAAAUGGGCAGAAGAAACAGACAUGCUUUUCAAAGUGGAAAAGCAGAUGGCCAACAUCGCUAAUCACCAGGGAAAUACCAAUCAAAACCACACUGAGCUAUCGCCUCACACCAGUCAGGAUGGCCAUUGUCAGAAAGAACACAAAUAACAAACACUGGAGCAAGUGUGGAGAAAAGGGAACACUCGUGCAGUACUGGUGAGAAUGUUAAUUGGUGCAGCUAGUGUACAAAAAAUGGAGGUUCCCCCCCACACACACACAAAAAUAGAACUACUUUGUGACCCAGCAUUCCCCUCCUGGGCAUACAUCUGAAAAAAUAAAAACACCAAUUCAAAAUGAUACAGGUACCCCAGGGUUCACAGCAGUUUCACUUACAACUGCUAAGACAUGGGAACAGCCUACAGUGUCCUUCAAUACUUGAAUGGGUGGAUACACAAUGGAAUACCACUGGAUCAUUUAGAAAGAACAAAAUGUUGCCAUUUACAGCAACAUGGAUAGAGUUGGUGAGCAUUAGCCUACAUGAAGUAAGUUAAAGAGAAACACUAGUGCAGUGGCUUACUGCCAGAAAAGCUGCAAAUUAACUUCAAGAAGACAAAGUAAUAAAAUGUAGUAUGAUUAGGAAGUUGGCAGUUCUAAUUAAAUAGUUUUAAUGGAGGUAUAAUUGACUUAAAACAAACUGCACAUUCUGACGUGUGCUCAUAACCCUGAAACUAAGUUUCCUCCUGCCUUUUCAAAUGUAUCCUCAACAUAUAAAAUUCCUGAUACAGUGACAUAUUCUAUAUUUUGUUACGGCUAUUUUCAAAUAUAUACAGAAAGUGAAGAAUGUUUUGAAGCCAGAUGGAUCCCUCCCAGUCACUUCAUGGCCAUUCUUCUCCUUUCAUCUAUUGCCAUGUACACCAGCGGAGGAGUUUCCCACCAUCCCCCCUGACUCACGAUUUUGCUUUCUGGGGUUUCAGUUAGCCAUAGUCAACCAAGCUCUGAAAAGCUAAAAGGAAAAUUCCACAAAUAAGCAUCUGUGAGUGUUAAACCCUGUGCCAGUCUGCACAAGCACGUCUCCUGCCGCCCUCUUCAUCCCCCCACGAUGUCCAUCAUCCCUUUGGCCGGUGCAUCCAAGCGGGCGUCGUAUCAUCGCACAUGCUCACACUUAGUGAACCACAAGAUACUGAGCGAGAACACAUUCACUUUUAUUGCAGUCAACUGUUCUGUUUUAUUAUUGGUUAAUCUCUUACUACGCUUACUUUAUACAUUAAACUUAAUCACAGGUAUGUAUGCAUAGGAAAAAAACAUAGUAUAUAUAAGGUUUAGUAUGAUCCAUGGUUUCUGGCAUCUACUUGGGGAUCUUCGAAUGGUUUACUGCACAUUUUUCGAAGAUUUUUGCUGCAGAUAAGGGGUGACAACUGCACCUAUAAUUCCAAGCAUGUUAUCAUUUAAUGCAUAACCUCUUCAGAAUAGAUUUUAUUACUUUUUUAUUUUUAGGGCUGCACCUGAGACAUCUGGAUGUACCCAGGCUAGGGGUCCAACUGGAGCUGCAGCUGCCUGCCUACACCAUAACCACAGGCCAGAUCAUUAACCCAUUGAUCGAUACCAGGGGUCAAACCUGCGUUCUUAUGGAUACUGAUUGGGUUCAUUAUCACUGAACCACAAUGGGAACUCCAGAAUACAUUUUUUAAAUGUAAGGUAAUCCUUCAUAACCCCAAAAGUUAUAAAAAUACAUUUUAUUAAUGCUCAAUUGUUUCAAAAAUGAAUUUGCUUAAGUCAGAUUAGUUGAAGUCAGAGUCCAAAAUGUAUUCUUACGUCUUUCAUUAGCUGUGUCUCACAGGUCUCUUUACAUAUGAGGUCCACUUAUCUUUUAAAAUUCUUAGUUCUUAUAAUUUGCUGUCAUUUAUUCAUCAGAAUUUUCUACAUUCUAGAUAUGGCUUUUUGAGUCUCUGAUACUGUUUAACUGAUCACCCUUCCUCUGUAAUUCUUGUCCACUAGAUGUUGAUGAGAUGGGUGACAAGAUUUGAUCCCUUAAGACAGGUGUUUGAUGAUGACUGUUAGGGAAGUAAAAACAAAAAUUUCUCCCAACCUAGAAAUUUUUUUUUUUUUUUUUUUUUUUUUUUUGUCUUUUAGCCUUUUCUAGGGCCACUCCCUCGGCAUAUAGAGGUUCCCAGGCUAGGGGUCUAAUUGGAACUACAGCCGCUGGCGCCAGAGCCACAGCAAUGUGGGAUGCGAGCCGAGUCUACAACCUACACCACAGCUCACAGGAACACUGGAUCCUUAACCCAUUGAGCGAGGCCAGGGAUCGAACCCGCAACCUCAUGGUUCCUAGUCGGAUUCGUUCACCACUGUGCCACGAUGGCAACUCCCAACCUAGAAAUUCUUUCCACAAAGAUAGCAGAGACAGAAAACUGCUUUUCUUGUUGAUAAGCAUUAAAGCAAAAUAGAUGUGCAUCACAAGUGAUCUACCAGGAAAUUGCAAAGGCAGCAAAAAACUCUGCAUAUGUCCAAGCAGAUAUAUCCCACUGAAUACAUUUUUUCCCUUUUUUGGGCCACACCUGCAGUAUAUGGAAGUUCCCAGGCUAGGGGUCGAAUUGAAGCUGUAGCCGCCAGCCUACACCAGAGCCACAGCAACGCGAGAUCCCAGCUGCGUCUGCGACCUACACCAUAGCUCAUGGCAAUACCGGAUCCUUAACCCACUGAGCAGGGCCAGGGAUUGAACUUGAAACCUCAUUGAUACUAGUCAGGCUCAUGAUUGCUGAGCUGCAAGAGAGCUCUGCAUACGUAUAUUCGAGAAAAACAGUAACUGGUCCUCAUGUAAGAGGAGCUGACAGAACCAUUUGUCACAGAGUCCUAAUUUUACCGGCUAAUUGGGGUGACCUGUUAGCUAACUGGUUUUAUCCAGAGGAAGAAUCAACUUCUCACCUUUCAAGAGGGAGCUUUGUAGUUGGAGCAAGGCGUCUGCUAAGAUGAGACUCCUGUCCUCACACCAGCUGACCCUCCUUUGUCUGCAGUUUGGACAGAUGGGUUCCACGUUCUUGAGAAAAACAUUCUGAUUCACAAAACUGAAAGGGAAAAAUGACCAGCUGAAAAAAGGCCUGUCUAGUCUUCAACGACAUGCAUGUUAAAGAUAUGAGACAGUUCUCAGAAUUUUUCAAAGAUAAAUGCUCUGAGGGAGAAGGAGGAAGCAUCUUUCCCUAUUUUCAACAGGGAGAAUUAAGCCAUUUUUUAAAUGUGUAUUUGUCGAAUAAUUUGUACAUGAAA
rnacentral:lncRNA from 1 species